AAACCAACUGGGAUUGCCCUAGUAACGGCGAGUGAAGCGGCAAUAGCUCAAAUUUGAAAUCUGGCCCUUUCAGGGUCCGAGUUGUAAUUUGCAGAGGGUGUCUCGGCAUUGGGCCCGUGCUAGGUUCCUUGGAACAGGACGUCACAGAGGGUGAGAACCCCGUCUUCGUUCGGGACUCCUUUGCCGUGUGAGACCCCUUCGACGAGUCGAGUUGUUUGGGAAUGCAGCUCUAAAUUGGAGGUAAAUUUCUUCUAAAGCUAAAUACCAGCCAAAGACCGAUAGCGCACAAGUAGAGUGAUCGAAAGAUGAAAAGCACUUUGAAAAGAGAGUUAAAAAGUAUGUGAAAUUGUUGAAAGGGAAGCUCUUGUGGCCAGACUUGGGCGCGGUUGUUCAGCAGUUCUUCUGAGCUGUGUAUUCUACCGCGUCCAGGCCAGCGUCGAUCUUAGGGGCAGGAUAAGCCCCGGAGAAAUGUGGCUCCGUUUCGGCGGAGUGUUAUAGUCUCCGGUCAUACUGCCACCUGCGGAUCGAGGACCGCGUCUGCUAGGA
rnacentral:rRNA from 1 species